rnacentral:lncRNA from 1 species
UAUUUAACAAGCAUAUAUAUCCAUGAUGCCUUAAUUGCCUGAUGAUUUACCAAAAACUUGAGGUGAUCUAGUCUUUCCAAAUGGCUUACUGUUCAAGUUCUCUUGUGAUUUCACCUGUGCCUGCUCUGCUCGGGAACUCCUGCAUCUGAUCCACUCAAGGUGGUAUCAGCUCUCCCUCCCAUAUACUUCAAGAAAAAAAAUUCUCUGCCUCGUGGUGGUGGCCUCUAAUCCUACCCAGUAAUUGGGAGGUAAAGGCAGGUGCAUCUCUGAGUUUGGGGCCAGCCUGGUCUACAAAGCAAUAGGAUCUCCUAAAAGAAAGGUAAGCAGACACAGAAACAUGGGCCUACAAGUUUAGACCUUGGAGGAGAGGUUGCAAGAGAGCAAACUGUGAACUACGGGAAGGGAAGG